ensembl:lncRNA
GUAGUGUCAUGGUCCGUGGUCCUGUGUCUGUGGAAUGCGUGAUGCUCGGGUAGCCACACCCCCGGGCUGAGCCAUCACCGGCACACCUGCUCUCCAUCGCGGUGAUUACAUGAAGAGCUACUUAACCCGGCGCUGACGGAUGCUCCACGCCAGUCCGUUAAUCACCUCACAGUGGUAACUAGACUUCCACGAAAGCGUGCAUUCACUUCUGGUUGGAACUGUGUUUAAUCCGUCUACUUGUGUCCAGGUUUCGACCCGGCGUUCGGCGUCUGCCACCUGCCUGUCCUCCGGCUCAACUAGAUCGCUCGGUGCAUCAUCUGGCCCAUUCGCUAUCCCCACGGACUUCCUGCUCACGGACUGCCACACUUCCCUCCCGAGCUCACACAAAAGCAACACUUUCUGUUAAACACAGUGGUUUAACUUAUAUAAUCUUAAUAAAUAAGCCUAUGUUAUUAUUUCGACCAGAGUUAUGUCAGCAUGAUUUCACAAUUCUCCAAGAUCAAAACAGGAAAUUAUCAAAGAAAGAUUACACAACUUUAGUAAAGCUCUGUUGUUGGUGUGGAUGAAGCCACUUUUGAAGAAUCCUGGAACAAAGUAUGAAAGAUUAAUAUAAGUCAAGCUAAACUGCAUAAAAACAAAGAACAAAGGAAAGGUGAAAUAAGAGAACAAAAUAAGAGUCAAUGUACCCAUCACAAGCUAAAAUUAAAAAAAUAAAUAAAUAAAUAAAAAAACAGAAUUUUUACUACAAGCAGAAGAGAGGGGACCAGUGUGGGGCUGCUAACAUCCUGUUUUGCAAUCUUGCUCAUAUAACUUUGACAGUUAGCUGUCUCGCUUUGGUUUUUGACCAGUGUAAAGUUACAAAAUCAAUUUGAGGAAACCCACAACCAAUAAGACAUAAUAGUAUAGAGUAGAACAUACCAUUUAGCUUGUUCCAUCUGUUCCGGAUGUUUCUGCUAUGAAGAGCAUCCACAUCAGAUUUUAACUGACCAAAGAUAUUUCUCUGCCAUCUAAAGCUUACUUGUGAGCUUUAUUUUGA